UACGUAGGGUGCAAGCGUUGUCCGGAAUUAUUGGGCGUAAAGAGCUCGUAGGCGGUUCGUCGCGUCGGCUGUGAAAUCCCGAGGCUCAACCUCGGGUCUGCAGUCGAUACGGGCGGACUGGAGUUCGGCAGGGAGACUGGAAUUCCUGGUGUAGCGGUGAAAUGCGCAGAUAUCAGGAGGAACACCGGUGGCGAAGGCGGGUCUCUGGGCCGAUACUGACGCUGAGGAGCGAAGCGUGGGAGCGAACAGG
rnacentral:rRNA from 1 species